CUGUGCUCCAGAGGAGCCCUUCUUUGCCCCAUCAGAGCAGGGGCUGCCAGGAGGGCGAGUGGCAGUGGGGCUCUGGGUGGCUCUUCCAGGGGUGGCGGGGGGGCCCUGUGCCUCACGGUGCUGCCGCUGGGUGCUCACCACGUGCAGCUGGGUGCUCACCAUGCACUGGCAGCUGCUCACCGUGCAGCACUGGGUGCUCACCAUGCACUCUCCAUCCUCCCCCACCUUGGUGACGGGGUCCCAGGAGGCUCCUGGGAGGGGGCAAUGGGUGACGCUGGCCCGGGGAGGGGGUUUUGGCCACGUGAUGGGCAGAAGGAGAAGCAGCGGGGAGCAAGGAGGGCGGUGCAGGAAGUUUGAUCGAGGUCUCCACACGAGGAUCAUGCAUUACAUUUCCAGGCCACAGAAACCACACUGGAAAGUUCGCGUCGCGUUACUCGCUGUCAGGGCCGGGGCCGGGACCGGAGGAGCAGCGCGGCGCGGAGCCCAGGCGGCCUCUCGGUGUCAUUAACAAAACAAACAAACAGCAUUGCCCAUAAUGAGCUCCGGCUUCGGGCGGAGGAGGGGUGAUUAAAGCAGGCUGCCAGGCGCUGGGGGGGCCCCGUGCCCGGCUAUCGCCGUGCUCCCACCCAACUCCUGCUGGGGAAGGGUGCCCCGAGCCCCCAGCGCCCGGUUCAGCGCUCAGCACCGCCUGGUCCGAGUCCUCAGCGCUCCCCAUCCCCGGCGAGGCUCUCACCCGAAGCUCACAGGCUUUGUGGUCUGGAGCCCUACGCCCCAGGAUCUCAACUGAAAACCUGCUCAAGAGCAUUCUUCUGCUGGUGGUUUCGGAAAGGGCAGAUUGCAGCAUUGCACCCAGGACAAGUCACUCACUUAUGGCUUACGUGCUGCUCUUCAUUACCUUCCAGCCUGGGCACAUCCGAGGAGCUCAACACUAUUCCCAGUCCCAGGACAGCUCUUCGCUCCCACUGCUGGUGCCAGCAACACUUCAGGUGCUCUUCUGGCUCCCAGCUCCCAACCCUGUAUUUCCUCAGAAGCCACUGGUGCCCAGAACUGAGGGCUGGUGCAAAGCCGAGCACAUUCCUGCACAGAGCUCAGUUGCCUUGCUGCAGGAACAACAUGGCAUGGCAGGGCACACCACGGCACUGCAUGACAUGGCAUGGCACAGUGUGGCCCCUCUGCUGGGCAGUGGUCCUUGUUCCUGAAGGAAUUCACCCGUGUGGGACCUGUGCUGUGCUGAGGGAUCCAGACGUGAGCAGCAGAUAUCUCCUCCGUGCCCAUCCCACGUCUACGUGAAAUACCCAGAGGCGCUGGCUCGCAGUGAGGGCUAAUGAGCGGAUUAUUGCAGCAUUUUAAAACUCAGCUGUUUCAUAAAUAGGGUUUACCCAGUGAAACCAAGAAGACAUUAAAAAAAAAAAAAAAAAGACGUUCACCCCCUUCUCCACACCUCAGCAGCUCCCUAAUAGCAGGCUCAGCAGUGCUUGAGGCCUCAUUUUUCAAACUCUCCUAUCUCAAAGACAUCGCUCUCCAUUACUAUCAAGCCUCUCCCUCCUGCUCCAGUUCUCCAGCACCCAGAAUCCAGGUGCACACUGUGCCACCAAGAGCAGCAUGGGGCUUUCAGCCUCAUCACUGCACGAGUCCAUGGGCAGGAGGGCAGCAGGGCUCAGUGCUGAGCACAGCCCUGUCCUUGCUGCUUGCAGCGGUCACCAUUCCCCAGGGCCAGCAGAGUGCUUGCAGGUCCCUGCAUCUCACUGGGAGCGUCUUCCAGGGGUGGCAUUGCAACAAGAUUGUCCCAGAGCUGCCCAUGGGGUAAGAAAAACCCAGUUAAUUGGUUAUUGUGCUGGCCUCAAGCACUCACGAAAGCAAUCAGCACCUGUUCCCUGAGCAGUGCCCUCUUGCAGGGAAUGUUGUGCGCUCUGUGUUCUGCUCUCCAGUGUCCCCACCACUUCCCCAAAGCAUUGCCAAGCAUAGGGUGUUCUGGUCACCUCUGUUUCUCCAGAGGGAGCAGGGAAGGCAGAAAGAGAGGAGCUGAGGAGCCAUCGAGAGGGGUGCAGAGGAGAGAUCUGUGUGUUGGAAACGUGGAACCGACACAGCGCGGCCUCGAAGGACCUUCCAAUUUAGGGCAAGCAGGUUGCUGCUAGGCAGGAAGAACAUUUAAAGCAAAGUGGGGUUCAAAUAGCUGACACUUCUUAGGCAAUUACUAUUAAAGUGAGCGUUGGCACCGGUGAUGGGAUGGCUGCUGGGAACACGCUGUGCUGGUCAGCACCUCCUUGCCGCGCCGGGUAACCGGAGCCCC
rnacentral:lncRNA from 1 species